UACAGAGGUCUCAAGCGUUGUUCGGAUUCAUUGGGCGUAAAGGGUGCGUAGGCGGCGCGGUAAGUCGGGUGUGAAAUCUCGGAGCUUAACUCCGAAACUGCAUUCGAUACUGCCGUGCUUGAGGACUGGAGAGGAGACUGGAAUUUACGGUGUAGCGGCGAAAUGCGUAGAUAUCGUAAGGAAGACCAGUGGCGAAGGCGGGUCUCUGGACAGUUCCUGACGCUGAGGCACGAAGGCCAGGGGAGCAAACGGG
rnacentral:rRNA from 1 species